AAUCAACGCUGGCGGCGUGCCUAACACAUGCAAGUCGCACGAGAAAGCGGGAGCAAUCCCGUGAGUAAAGUGGCGUACGGGUGAGUAACACGUGACUAACCUGCCCUUAAGUGGGGAAUAACCUCGGGAAACCGGGGCUAAUACCGCAUAACACCAUCGGGUGCAACCCCUGAUGGUCAAAUGGGAAACCAGCUUUUGGAGGGGGUCGCGGCUGAUUAGCUAGUUGGCAGGGUAAUGGCCUACCAAGGCGACGAUCAGUAGCCGGCCUGAGAGGGCGCACGGCCACACUGGAACUGAAACACGGUCCAGACUCCUACGGGAGGCAGCAGUGGGGAAUUUUGCGCAAUGGGGGAAACCCUGACGCAGCAACGCCGCGUGAGGAUGAAGUCCCUUGGGAUGUAAACUCCUUUCGACCGGGACGAUAAUGACGGUACCGGUGGAAGAAGCCCCGGCUAACUCUGUGCCAGCAGCCGCGGUAAUACAGAGGGGGCAAGCGUUGUUCGGAAUUAUUGGGCGUAAAGGGUGCGUAGGCGGUGCGGUAAGUCUUCUGUGAAAUCUCCGGGCUCAACUCGGAGUCUGCAGGAGAAACUGCCGUGCUUGAGUAUGGGAGAGGUGAGUGGAAUUCCUGGUGUAGCGGUGAAAUGCGUAGAUAUCAGG
rnacentral:rRNA from 1 species